rnacentral:rRNA from 1 species
UACGUAGGGGGCUAGCGUUGUCCGGAAUCAUUGGGCGUAAAGCGCGUGUAGGCGGUCCGGUAAGUCCGCUGUGAAAGUCGGGGGCUCAACCCUCGAAUGCCGGUGGAUACUGUCGGGCUAGAGUACGGAAGAGGCGAGUGGAAUUCCUGGUGUAGCGGUGGAAUGCGCAGAUAUCAGGAGGAACACCGAUGACGAAGGCAGCUCGCUGGGACGGUACUGACGCUGAGGCGCGAAAGCGUGGGGAGCGAACAGG